ACAAAAGGAAUGACAAUGUCAAACUUUUAUAUGCUUAUAUAUGAAGGAAUUUUAAUGUCAUGAUAACCUUGUAUAUUCUACUGCUUCCUGCUAACCAUCUCAUAGUAUACUAUGCAAACUCCAAGAGAAUGUAAUUUGUAUAAGGUACUUAAGAAUAAAAAAUUACAGACAUUUCCAAGCGCGCAACAAUUUACUUUUCUGUUUAAUCACCCGACUGGGUACUCUCUAGGUUAGUAGAGACACUUUAAGUCAUCAUGAGAAGGCACAAAGCACUACUACUUUCAUUACAACAGCCUCCAUUUUGAACUAUUUUCUUCAGUUCCCAAAUAGGUUUUACCAAUACCAACUACACAUUCUAUAUCUGGUCAUUUGACCUUUGACCUUUCUACUGGGUUAUAUUUCGAGUCUCUACACUACAUAUCCUCUGAGUUUGUGGUAGACAUGAGUUCUCCCAUAAAGUACAAGAUUGCUACAGGUCUAUGCAACUUUUCCAAGGUUCCUAUCAGAACCAGAAAAUAUAUCAAAAAAAGUGAAACCCUCUAAAGAUAUCCUGGCAUUGAGUUUAUUGGUUAAGACAAAUUAUAAACUGUUUUCUGUUCUAAUCUUUUCUUAUUCUCUCAUCUACAAUAAUAUGUUUAGACCCUAUGAUUACACUAAAAAUUAAUCCCCUAAAAUCUUGAUUCUAGUUUAUCCAUUUCACAUGAAUAGGUAAACCUCAGAACCCCAAACCAGGAAAACACCUCAAAUUGUUCACCUGUAGUCUCCACACAACUUUUACCACAGCCAAUAAAACAACAUUAAUAACAAAAGGCUACUCCUCGGUUGGUUUUUGCUUCCAAAGCACCAAGCAGGGAAAAUGUAACUCCUUGAAUACAUCAGUUCGAUUUCUCUUUGACAAUACAAAGCCUUUUGUCCUUUUAUCUUUCUUAUCUUAAUCUAUCUCCAAGAUGCCACUUAACAACCUUCAAGUCAGAUACCAAAACAAGGAAAUGUUGACCUACAGCUAGAAAAAAUUAGCAAAAAGAACCAUUUUACCACCCGUUUGGUUCAAAUCAGCAAUGGCAACGACUAUGACCUUCAAUGACAAUCAAUUAACCAGGGAUUCCCUUUAAAAAUGAUUGGCAGUGUUUGUAUUUGUAUAGGAAUCAACUUCUAUUUUCUUUUCUUAUUUCUUUCAACGUCUUCAUGCUAUAACUGUCAACCAAAACCUUUAAUUUCUUACCAUUGUCAGCCUUCGCCACCUACAGCGAGUAAUCUCAAGAAAGCUCUAUUUCUGUAACUCAACAAAAUCAACAAAAACCCAAAACCAAAACCAACACCAAGGCAUAACCACAAUUCUUCCAUGCAAAUCAAGACCAAAAUCCAAAAUAAUCUUGCUAUUAUGAUGAAAGCCCACAGUCAAUCAACAUAGAAAGUUCUAUGGCUGCAUCAAGCUUAGAAAUUAGAAACAUAACCAAGACCAGUCCGCGUAAGUUUAUAUGGACAAGAUUUUUACAUAGCAAAACCAGUUCAAUGACAAUUGUUUUGAAUCUGGGAAAAUUUUGAGUGCCGAUUACAAAAAAAAAAAAA